GUUUGAUCCUGGCUCAGGAUGAACGCUAGCGGCAGGCCUAAUACAUGCAAGUCGAGCGGUGUCUUCGGACAUAGUGGCGCACGGGUGCGUAACACGUAUGCAACCUACCUUACAUUGGGGGAUAGCCUUUCGAAAGGGAGAUUAAUACCGCAUAAGACAGUAGCUGGGCAUCCAGCAGCUGUUAAAGAUUUAUCGAUGUAAGAUGGGCAUGCGACCAAUUAGUUAGUUGGCGAGGUAACGGCUCACCAAGACUAUGAUUGGUAGGGGAACUGAGAGGUCAAUCCCCCACACUGGCACUGAGAUACGGGCCAGACUCCUACGGGAGGCAGCAGUAGGGAAUAUUGGGCAAUGGACGCAAGUCUGACCCAGCCAUGCCGCGUGCAGGAUGAAGGCGUUAUGCGUCGUAAACUGCUUUUAUACAGGAAGAAACGACUCUUGCGAGAGGCAUUGACGGUACUGUAUGAAUAAGCACCGGCUAACUCCGUGCCAGCAGCCGCGGUAAUACGGAGGGUGCAAGCGUUGUCCGGAUUUAUUGGGUUUAAAGGGUGCGCAGGUGGUUUAUUAAGUCAGUGGUGAAAGACGGUCGCUCAACGAUUGCAGUGCCAUUGAAACUAGUAGACUUGAGUAAAGUAGAGGUGGGCGGAAUUGAUAGUGUAGCGGUGAAAUGCAUAGAUAUUAUCAAGAACUCCAAUUGCGUAGGCAGCUCACUUGGCUUUUACUGACACUCAUGCACGAAAGUGUGGGUAUCAAACAGGAUUAGAUACCCUGGUAGUCCACACUGUAAACGAUGAUAACUAGGUGUCGGCCGAAUCUGGUCGGUGCCACAGCGAAAGCGUUAAGUUAUCCACCUGGGGAGUACGCCGGCAACGGUGAAACUCAAGGAAUUGACGGGGUCCGCACAAGCGUGGAGCAUGUG
rnacentral:rRNA from 1 species